rnacentral:rRNA from 1 species
UACGGAGGGUGCAAGCGUUAUCCGGAUUUACUGGGCGUAAAGGGCGCGUAGGCGGUCAGCACAAGUCAGUUGUGAAAUCUCCGGGCUUAACUCGGAAAGGUCAACUGAUACUGUGCGACUAGAGUGCAGAAGGGGCAACUGGAAUUCUCGGUGUAGCGGUGAAAUGCGUAGAUAUCGAGAGGAACACCUGCGGCGAAGGCGGGUUGCUGGGCUGACACUGACGCUGAUGCGCGAAAGCCAGGGGAGCGAACGGG